UACGUAGGGCGCAAGCGUUGUCCGGAAUUAUUGGGCGUAAAGAGCUCGUAGGCGGCUUGUCACGUCGGUUGUGAAAGCCCGGGGCUUAACCCCGGUCUGCAGUCGAUACGGGCUAGCUAGAGUGUGGUAGGGGAGAUCGGAAUUCCUGGUGUAGCGGUGAAAUGCGCAGAUAUCAGGAGGAACACCGGUGGCGAAGGCGGAUCUCUGGGCCAUUACUGACGCUGAGGAGCGAAAGCGUGGGGAGCGAACAGG
rnacentral:rRNA from 1 species